CUGUCAGCGGUCGUGUCUCCGUGGAGAGCAGCUCUAUCUCGGCCAUUGCUUCGGGAAUAGCCGCUGGCUCUUAUAACGUUAGUGGUUAACAAUGCGAUAUAGUUAAUUUUGGGUAUAUGAGACGAACAAUUGUUGCUCUUUUUAGACUUAAACUUAUUCCCGAGUGUGUCGAAUUAGUGAAGGGUUGUUUUAACGUUUAUAAUAUUAUUUUUUAAGACUGUAUUUCGCUUUCUGUACUAGAUCCCACUCUUCUUUUUCCCCCCACUGACAGGUUGCAGAAUAACAGCUAAUAUUAAUGGAUCAUUCUAUUCAAGAGAAUGUCAACUGGAACUUGGAUGUUUUCAUAACAGGCUUAAAGAUGAACAAAUUGAUAAAGAAACCCUCCUGCUGGACAUCCACUUCCAAAAGUGCACACCACACUGUUGUCUACAACUCCUAGGAAAAGAAUCCUCUUAAGUAAGACUGCUCCGUGGAUAUGUCAGGUUAAGCAGUGCUGAAACCGAAAGAACUAACACUAUUUAAAAUGUUUUGUGAGUUUAUAUGAAGAGGAAAGUUACGGUGUCCCUUUUUCACAUCCAUAACGCUUGUUUAUUUCUUUUUUUAUAGAAAACUUGUGCAUAGACUUAUAUUUUAACAUAUAAAUGCGGUUCUAUUAACAAGGGUUUAGUAAAAUACUUUUUAUAGCGUUUUGAAGUGUUAAGUUGUCUAACUAUUUAUAUUUACUUGUGCCACUUUAAUAACCUUGUUAAAUGUAUAUGUUAAAAUCUAAACUAAUGUAAUUUAUUGAAAUUAAUGUUCUUUAAAUAUGUAUAAACAUACAUUUCAUCAAAGUGUUUUAUAUGCCAUUUUAUUGUUCAUUGAGCAUAACAUAUUGCAUGUUUUUAUGAAUUCCUUUUGUCUUGCAUUUUGAUCCUUAAUAAAACUAUUGAUUCUUA